rnacentral:rRNA from 1 species
UACGGAGGGUGCAAGCGUUGUUCGGAAUUAUUGGGCGUAAAGGGCGUGUAGGCGGCCUCAUAAGUCUGAUGUGAAAAGCCCCCGGGCUCAACCCGGGGAAGUGCAUUGGAAACUGUGAGACUUGAGUACGGGAGAGGGCAGUGGAAUUCCCAGUGUAGGAGUGAAAUCCGUAGAUAUUGGGAGGAACACCGGUGGCGAAGGCGGCUGCCUGGACCGAUACUGACGCUGAGACGCGAAAAGCGUGGGGGAGCAAACAGG